rnacentral:rRNA from 1 species
UCCAGUUGAUCCUGCUGGAGGGUACUGCUAUCAGAGUUCGAUUAAGCCAUGCAAGUCAGCCCCUUCACUUGAAGGGACGGCGUACGGCUCAGUAGCACGUAGUCAACCUGCCCUAAAGACGGGGACAACGUUGGGAAACUGACGUCAACCCCCGAUAGGUCAUAGAUGCUGGAAUGCUUUAUGGCCCAAAUGGCGCGCGAAUUGGAGCGUGUCCGCUUUAGGAUGGGACUGCGCCCGAUUAGGCUGUUGGCGGGGUAACGGCCCGCCAAACCAAUAAUCGGUGGGGGCAAUGAGAGUUGGAGCCCCGAGAAGGGCACUGAGACAAGGGCCCUAGUCCUACGGGAUGCAGCAGGCGCGGAACCUCCGCAAUGCGCGAAAGCGUGACGGGGGGACUCUGAGUGGCCAACUACGUGUUGGCCUUUUGCCCAGUCCACAACGCUGGGAGAAUAAGCGCUGGGCAAGACCGGUGCCAGCCGCCGCGGUAACACCGGCAGCGCGAGUGGUAUCCACGAAUAUUGGGUCUAAAGAGUCUGUAGCUGGCCUAGUAAGUUUCCCGUGAAAUCUCACGGCUCAACCGUGAGGCGUGCGGGAAAUACUGCCAGGCUCGGGAGCGGGGGAGGUCAAGAGUACUUGUGGGGUAGUGGUAAAAUACGUUAAUCCUGCAAGGACUCCCAGUGGCGAAGGCGCUUGACCAAAACGCGUCCGACAGUGAGAGACGAAGGCUAGGAGAACGAAUCGGAUUAGAUACCCGAGUAGCCCUAGCAGUAAAUGAUGCAGACCGUGGUGUUGCAGUGGCUUCGAGCCGCUGCAGUGCCGUAGCGUAGGUGUUCAGUCUGCCACCUGGGGAGUACGGCCGCAAGGCUGAAACUUAAAGGAAUUGGCGGGGGAGCACCACAAGGGGUGGAUGCUGCGGUUCAAUUGGAUUCAACGCCGGGAACAUUACUGGGAGCGACGGCAGAAUGAAGGCCAGACUGAAGAUCUUGCCUGACAAGCCGAGAGGUGGUGCACGGCCAUCGCCAGCUCGUGGUGCGAACUGUCCGGUUAAGUCCGGUAACGAGCGAGACCCACGCGUUCAUUUGCGAUCUUAAACUCCGGUUUGAGAGCACUAUGAAUGGACUGCCGACGUUAAGUUGGAGGAAGGAGUGGGCGACGGUAGGUCAGUAUGCCCUGAAUCUCCCAGGCUACACGUGGCAUACAAUGGUAGAGACAACGGGUUGCAACCUCGAAAGUGGAAGCUAAUCCCUCAAACUCUGCCCGAGUUCGAAUUGAGGGCUGAAACUCGCCCUCAUGAAGCUGGAAUCCCUAGUAAUCGCGUGUCAUCAUCGCGCGGUGAAUGUGCCCCCGCUCCUUGCACACACCGCCCGUCAAAUCACCCAAGCGAGGUUCCGAUGAGGCGGCCCUAUUUGGGGUUGUCGAGCCGGAGUUUCGUGAGGGGGGUUAAGUCGUAACAAGGUA